GUGGCUAUGGUGUAGAGGCAACACAGCGGGUUGUGGUCCCGUUAUCAUGGGUUCGAUUCCCAUUAGCCACCCCA
rnacentral:tRNA from 1 species